GCGUUGUCCGGAUUUACUGGGUGUAAAGGGCGUGUAGGCGGGAUUACAAGUCAGAUGUGAAAUACCGGGGCUUAACUCCGGGGCUGCAUUUGAAACUGUAGUUCUUGAGUGCCGGAGAGGAAAGCGGAAUUCCUAGUGUAGCGGUGAAAUGCGUAGAUAUUAGGAGGAACACCAGUGGCGAAGGCGGCUUUCUGGACGGUAACUGACGCUGAGGCGCGAAAGCGUGGGGAGCAAACAGGAUUAGAUACCCUGGUAGUCCACGCCGUAAACGAUGGAUACUAGGUGUAGGAGGUAUCGACCCCUUCUGUGCCGGAGUAAACACAAUAAGUAUCCCACCUGGGGAGUACGACCGCAAGGUUGAACUCAAAGGAAUUGACGGGGGCCCGCACAAGCAGUGGAGUAUGUGGUUUAAUUCGAAGCAACGCGAAGAACCUUACCAGGACUUGACAUCCCGCGCAUAGUAUAGAGAUAUAUGAAAUCCUUCGGGACGCGGAGACAGGUGGUGCAUGGUUGUCGUCAGCUCGUGUCGUGAGAUGUUGGGUUAAGUCCCGCAACGAGCGCAACCCUUAUUGCCAGUUGCCAUCAUUAAGUUGGGAACUCUGGCGAGACUGCCGGUGACAAAUCGGAGGAAGGUGGGGAUGACGUCAAAUCAUCAUGCCCCUUAUGUCCUGGGCUACACACGUACUACAAUGGCCGAAAACAAAGUGAAGCAAAGCCGCGAGGUGGAGCAAAACUUCAAAAAUGGUCUCAGUUCGGACUGCAGGCUGCAACCCGCCUGCACGAAGUUGGAAUUGCUAGUAAUCGUGGAUCAGCAUGCCACGGUGAAUACGUUCCCGGGUCUUGUACACACCGCCCGUCACACCAUGGGAGUUGGUAACACCCGAAGUCAGUAGUCUAACCGCAAGGAGGACGCUGCCGAAGGUGG
rnacentral:rRNA from 2 species